rnacentral:rRNA from 1 species
AUGGAAAAAAUGGUUGAAGAUGUUGUCCUUCAAGACAAAAUCAAUGAUGAGCUUGUGGCAUAUCGAAAGGAACAUGGGACAUUUGGAAGAGAAAUUGCCAAAAGGCAGCGGAGAAACAAAAGCUUUGAUCCAGCUCAAUGGUGGUCCAGUCAUGGGUCAGAUUCACCAAAUCUCAGAGUAUUGGCGAUGCGGAUUUUGAGUUUGACAUGCAGCUCCUCCGCUUGUGAGAGGAAUUUUAGUGUUUUUCAGCAGAUUCACACAAAGAAACGCAACAGGCUGCUUCAUAAUAAAAUGAGAGACCUUGUUUUUAUCAAGUUCAACUCCAAACUCAAACAAAAGAGAAAGAUGACAAACAGGGACCUGAUUGUGGACCACACAUUUGUAGAUGUUGUAGAAAAUGAAGAUAAUGAGUGGAUCACAGGUAUUGUGCCUCAUGAACCUGAUGAAGUUGUAGAAGUUGCAGCAUCAACAUCACAAGGAGCAGUUGGUGCAUCAAAAGGAAAGAGAGCGUCCCAAUCUCGCCCUCGAAAGAAGAAAAAACUGCUCCCUGUUUUUCGUGAAGAUGAGUUGGAGUCAGCUAGUUCUUCUUCUGAAUCGGAAGAUGAUGCCAUGCAUUCACCAUCUGGUUCAUCAAAUGAGAGUGAUUCUGAAUAA